AGCGAACGCUGGCGGCAGGCCUAACACAUGCAAGUCGAACGAACCCUUCGGGGUUAGUGGUGGACGGGUGAGUAACACGUGGGAACGUGCCUUUAGGUUCGGAAUAACUCAGGGAAAUUUGUGCUAAUACCGAAUGUGCCCUUCGGGGGAAAGAUUUAUCGCCUUUAGAGCGGCCCGCGUCUGAUUAGCUAGUUGGUGAGGUAAAGGCUCACCAAGGCUACGAUCAGUAGCUGGUCUGAGAGGAUGACCAGCCACAUUGGGACUGAGACACGGCCCAAACUCCUACGGGAGGCAGCAGUGGGGAAUCUUGCGCAAUGGGCGAAAGCCUGACGCAGCCAUGCCGCGUGGAUGAUGAAGGUCUUAGGAUUGUAAAAUCCUUUCACCGGUGAAGAUAAUGACUGUAGCCGGAGAAGAAGCCCCGGCUAACUUCGUGCCAGCCGCCGCAGUAAGAC
rnacentral:rRNA from 1 species